CACGUAGGCACCAAGCGUUGUCCGGAUUUAUUGGGCGUAAAGAGCUCGUAGGCGGUUCGGUAAGUCGGGUGUGAAAACUCUGGGCUCAACCCAGAGCCGCCACCCGAUACUGCUGUGACUCGAGUGCGGUAGGGGAGCGGGGAAUUCCUGGUGUAGUGGUGAAAUGCGCAGAUAUCAGGAGGAACACCAGUGGCGAAGGCGGCUCUCUGGGACGGUACUGACGCUGAGACGCGAAAGCGUGGGGAGCGAACAGG
rnacentral:rRNA from 1 species